rnacentral:rRNA from 1 species
GACGAACGCUGGCGGCGUGCUUAACACAUGCAAGUCGAACGGAAAAGCCCUGCUUUUGUGGGGUGCUCGAGUGGCGAACGGGUGAGUAGCACGUGAGUAACCUGCCCUUGACUUUGGGAUAACUUCAGGAAACUGGGGCUAAUACCGGAUAGGAGCUCCUGCUGCAUGGUGGGGGUUGGAAAGUUUCGGCGGUUGGGGAUGGACUCGCGGCUUAUCAGCUUGUUGGUGGGGUAGUGGCUUACCAAGGCUUUGACGGGUAGCCGGCCUGAGAGGGUGACCGGCCACAUUGGGACUGAGAUACGGCCCAGACUCCUACGGGAGGCAGCAGUGGGGAAUAUUGCACAAUGGGCGGAAGCCUGAUGCAGCAACGCCGCGUGCGGGAUGACGGCCUUCGGGUUGUAAACCGCUUUCGCCUGUGACGAAGCGUGAGUGACGGUAAUGGGUAAAGAAGCACCGGCUAACUACGUG